rnacentral:rRNA from 1 species
AACGUAGGACACAAGCGUUAUCCGGAGUUACUGGGCGUAAAGGGCGUGUAGGCGGACCUAUAAGUCUAUUCUGAAAGCUCCUGGCUAAACUGGGAGAGGCGAAUGGAGACUGUAGAUCUAGAGUGAGGAAGAGGAAAGUGGAAUUCCGCGUGUAGUGGUGAAAUGCGUAGAGAUGCGGAGGAACACCAGUGGCGAAAGCGACUUUCUGGUCCUUAACUGACGCUGAGGCGCGAAAGCUAGGGGAGCAAACAGG